rnacentral:tRNA from 1 species
AUGGGUAUAGUUUAAUGGUAAAAUGAUGGAUUCCAAAUCCGUAGUUAAGGGUUCGAUUCCCUUUACCCUUGCCA